UGCGCAGGCGGCAUAGUAAGUCAGUGGUGAAAGCCCGGAGCUCAACUCCGGAACUGCCAUUGAUACUGCUAAGCUUGAGUACGGUUGAAGUGGGCGGAAUGUGACAUGUAGCGGUGAAAUGCUUAGAUAUGUCACAGAACACCAAUUGCGAAGGCAGCUUACUAAACCGUUACUGACGCUGAGGCACGAAAGCGUGGGUAGCGAACAGGAUUAGAUACCCUGGUAGUCC
rnacentral:rRNA from 1 species